rnacentral:rRNA from 1 species
GACGAACGCUGGCGGCGCGCUUAACACAUGCAAGUCGAGCGAUGAAACUUUAACAGAACCCUUCGGGGCGAAGAUAAAGUGGAUUAGCGGCGGACGGGUGAGUAACACGUGAGUAACCUGCCUUAGUCAUUGGGAUAGCCUCGGGAAACCGGGAUUAAUACCAAAUAAAAUCAUAAUGACACAUGUCAUAACGAUCAAAACUCCGGUGGUCUAAGAUGGACUCGCGUCCCAUUAGCUAGUUGGUAGAGUAAAAGCCUACCAAGGCGACGAUGGGUAGCCGGCCUGAGAGGGUGAACGGCCACAUUGGAACUGAGAAACGGUCCAAACUCCUACGGGAGGCAGCAGUGGGGAAUAUUGCACAAUGGAGGGAACUCUGAUGCAGCGACGCCGCGUGAACGAAGAAGGCUUUCGAGUCGUAAAGUUCUUUUAUAUGGGAAGAUAAUGACGGUACCAUAAGAAAAAGCCCCGGCUAACUACGUG